AUUGCUCUGUCGUUGGCAUCUGGUCAACUACUGUGAAUGGUCCAGACUUCACUGGAGCUGGUGGUCAAAACGGACAUCCUGGGGGUGAACUGUGGUGGUGUUUACUGAUCCUUGUCCUGGUCGUCAUUGGCAUUGGCAUUGCUUACUGGUGUAUCAAGAAGCGCAAAAUAAAUAGAAACCAUGUCGUAUAAGGGAGAAAGUGACAGGGACAGCGCUCAGGACUACCCAUCCCUUAACCAAGCUGUUUGGACCCAACCACCAGGGACAGGGACAGCGCUCAGGACUACCCAUCCCUUAACCAAGCUGUUUGGACCCAACCACCAGAGACAGGGACAGCACUCAGGACUACCCAUCCCUUAACCAAGCUGUUUGGACCAAACCACCAGAGACACGGACAACCCUCAGGACUACCCAUCCCUUAACCAAGCUGUUUGGACCAAACCACCAGAGACAGG